rnacentral:rRNA from 2 species
CGGUUGAUCCUGCCGGAGGCCAUUGCUAUCGGAGUCCGAUUUAGCCAUGCUAGUUGCACGGGUUUAGACCCGUGGCGAAAAGCUCAGUAACACGUGGCCAAGCUACCCUGUGGACCGGAAUACCCUCGGGAAACUGAGGAUAAUUCCGGAUAACGCUCCCCUAUUGGAAUAUGGGGAGCCGGAAACGUUUCAGGCGCUAAUCAGAUUAUGUCUGAUUGCGCAACGAGACGCUUCGCGUCUCGUCCGCGCCACAGGAUGCGGCUGCGGCCGAUUAGGUAGACGGUGGGGUAACGGCCCACCGUGCCUAUAAUCGGUACGGGUUGUGAGAGCAAGAGCCCGGAGACGGAAUCUGAGACAAGAUUCCGGGCCCUACGGGGCGCAGCAGGCGCGAAACCUUUACACUGCACGACAGUGCGAUAGGGGGACUCCGAGUGCGAGGGCAUAGAGCCCUCGCUUUUCUGUACCGUAAGGUGGUACAGGAAGAAGGGCUGGGCAAGACCGGUGCCAGCCGCCGCGGUAAUACCGGCAGCCCAAGUGAUGGCCGAUAUUAUUGGGCCUAAAGCGUCCGUAGCUGGCCGGACAAGUCCGUUGGGAAAUCCGCACGCUUAACGUGCGGGCGUCCAGCGGAAACUGUCCGGCUUGGGACCGGAAGACCCGAGGGGUACGUCCGGGGUAGGAGUGAAAUCCUGUAAUCUCGGACGGACCACCUGUGGCGAAAGCGCCUCGGGAAGACGGAUCCGACAGUGAGGGACGAAAGCCAGGGUCUCGAACCGGAUUAGAUACCCGGGUAGUCCUGGCCGUAAACGAUGUCCGCUAGGUGUGACGCAGGCCACGAGCCUGCGUUGUGCCGUAGGGAAGCCGUGAAGCGGACCGCCUGGGAAGUACGUCUGCAAGGAUGAAACUUAAAGGAAUUGGCGGGGGAGCAC